rnacentral:rRNA from 1 species
CAAUAGCGUAUAUUAAAGUUGUUGCGGUUAAAAGCUCGUAGUUGGAUUUCUGCUGAAGCAAACCGGUCCGCCCUCUGGGUGAGUAUCUGGUUUUGCUUUGGCAUAUGCUUAGAAUUUGCAGCUGCACUUGACUGUGUGGUGUAAAGGCUGAGCCUUUUACUUUGAGGAAAUCAGAGUGUUUCAAGCAGGCCAUCGCCUUGAAUACACUAGCAUGGAAUAAUAUGAUAUGACUGUGGUUUUAUUUUGUUGGCUUUUAGAAUUAGAGUAAUGGUUAAUAGGGAUAGUUGGGGGCAUUCAUAUUUAACUGUCAGAGGUGAAAUUCUUGGAUUUGUUAAGGAUGAACGACUGCGAAAGCAUUUGCCAAGGAUGCUUUCAUUGAUCAAGAACGAAAGUUAGGGAUCGAAGACGAUUAGAUACCGU